GGCGAACGGGUGAGUAACACGUAGGGAACCUGCCCGUGCACCGGGAAUACGCUCUGGAAACGGAGAACAAAUCCCGAUGUACAGGAAGGAGGCAUCUUCUUUCUGUGAAACAUCCUUUAGGGGAUGGGGCGCGGAUGGACCUGCGGUGCAUUAGUUGGUUGGCGGGGUAACGGCCCACCUAACCGACGAUGCGUAGGGGUUCUGAGAGGAAGGUCCCCCACACUGGUACUGAGACACGGACCAGACUCCUACGGGAGGCAGCAGUGAGGAAUAUUGGUCAAUGGUCGGGAGACUGAACCAGCCAAGCCGCGUGAGGGAGGAAGGUACAGAGUAUCGUAAACCUCUUUUGUCAGGGAACAAAGACUGGGACGCGUCCCCGGAUGAGUGUACCUGAAGAAAAAGCAUCGGCUAACUCCGUGCCAGCAGCCGCGGUAAUACGGAGGAUGCGAGCGUUAUCCGGAUUUAUUGGGUUUAAAGGGUGCGCAGGCGGUCUGUUAAGUCAGCGGUCAAAGCCCGGGGCUCAACCCCGGCCCGCCGUUGAAACUGGCAGUCUCGAGUUGGAGAGAAGUAUGCGGAAUGCGCGGUGUAGCGGUGAAAUGCAUAGAUAUCGCGCAGAACUCCGAUUGCGAAGGCAGCAUGCCGGCUCCACACUGACGCUGAGGCACGAAAGCGUGGGUAUCGAACAGGAUUAGAUACCCUGGUAGUCCACGCAGUAAACGAUGAAUGCUGGCUGUCCGGGGGGACUGACCCCUGGGUGGCGAAGCGAAAGCGAUAAGCAUUCCACCUGGGGAGUACGCCGGCAACGGUGAAACUCAAAGGAAUUGACGGGGGCCCGCACAAGCGGAGGAACAUGUGGUUUAAUUCGAUGAUACGCGAGGAACCUUACCCGGGCUCAAACGGGGAGUGCCGCAGGCAGAGACGCCUGUUUCCCACGGGACACUCCCCGAGGUGCUGCAUGGUUGUCGUCAGCUCGUGCCGUGAGGUGUCGGCUUAAGUGCCAUAACGAGCGCAACCCCUACCGCCAGUUGCCAACGGGUAAAGCCGGGAACUCUGGCGGGACUGCCGGCGCAAGCUGUGAGGAAGGCGGGGAUGACGUCAAAUCAGCACGGCCCUUACGUCCGGGGCGACACACGUGUUACAAUGGCAGGUACAGCGGGAAGCCACUUGGCGACAAGGCGCGGAACCCGAAAACCUGUCUCAGUUCGGAUUGGAGUCUGCAACCCGACUCCAUGAAGCUGGAUUCGCUAGUAAUCGCGCAUCAGCCACGGCGCGGUGAAUACGUUCCCGGGCCUUGCACACACAGCCCGUCAAG
rnacentral:rRNA from 1 species